GUGCAAGUCGAACGAAGUAGCAAUACUUAGUGGCAGACGGGUGAGUAACAUGUAGGUAUCUGCCCUUUGGCCUGGAAUAACACGAGGAAACUUGUGCUAAUACCGGAUAAGUCUUUACGGAGAAAGCUUUACGCACCAUUGGAUGAGCCUGCACUUGAUUAGUUUGUUGGUGGGGUAAUGGCCUACCAAGACUGUGAUCAAUAGCUGAUUUGAGAGGAUGAUCAGCCACAUUGGGACUGAGACACGGCCCAAACUCCUACGGGAGGCAGCAGUGGGAAUCUUGCACAAUGGAGGAAACUCUGAUGCAGCGAUGCCGCGUGAGUGAAGAAGGCCCUUGGGUUGUAAAGCUCUUUCGUCGGGGAAGAAAAUGACUGUACCCGAAUAAGAAGGUCCGGCUAACUUCGUGCCAGCAGCCGCGGUAAUACGAAGGGACCUAGCGUAGUUCGGAAUUACUGGGCUUAAAGAGUUCGUAGGUGGUUGAAAAAGUUAGCGGUGAAAUCCCAGAGCUUAACUCUGGAACUGCCAUUAAAACUUUUCAGCUAGAGUAUGAUAGAGGAAAGCAGAAUUUCUAGUGUAGAGGUGAAAUUCGUAGAUAUUAGAAAGGAUACCAAUUGCGAAGGCAGCUUUCUGGAUCAUUACUGACACUGAGGAACGAAAGCAUGGGUAGCGAAGAGGAUUAGAUACCCUCGUAGUCCAUGCCGUAAACGAUGUGUGUUAGACGUUGGAAAUUUAUUUUCAGUGUCGCAGGGAAACCGAUAAACACACCGCCUGGGGAGUACGACCGCAAGGUUAAAACUCAUAUGAAUUGACGGGGACCCGCACAAGUAGUGGAGCAUGUGGUUUAAUUCGAAGAUACGCGCAGAAACUUACCAACACUUGACAUGUUCGUCGCGACUCUA
rnacentral:rRNA from 1 species